AGAGUUUGAUCCUGGCUCAGGACGAACGCUGGCGGCGUGCUUAACACAUGCAAGUCGAACGGAAAUAUUGGAGUAUUUAUAUGAAGAUAUUUUAGUGGCGGACGGGUGAGUAACACGUGGGUAACCUGCCCUAUGGAGGGGGAUAACACAUAGAAAUGUGUGCUAAUACCGCAUAAUGUAGUACUAUCGCAUGGUGGAACUAUCAAAGAUUUAUUACCAUAGGAUGGACCCGCGGCCCAUUAGCUAGUUGGUGAGGUAACGGCUCACCAAGGCGACGAUGGGUAGCCGGACUGAGAGGUCGAACGGCCACAUUGGAACUGAGACACGGUCCAGACUCCUACGGGAGGCAGCAGUGGGGAAUAUUGCACAAUGGAGGAAACUCUGAUGCAGCAACGCCGCGUGAGUGACGAAGGCCUUCGGGUUGUAAAACUCUGUCUUAGCUGACGAUAAUGACGGUAAGCUAGGAGGAAGCCACGGCUAACUACGUGCCAGCAGCCGCGGUAAUACGUAGGUGGCGAGCGUUGUCCGGAAUUACUGGGCGUAAAGGGAGCGUAGGCGGUUUGUUAAGUCAGAUGUGUAAUCCCCGAGCUCAACUUGGGAACUGCAUCUGAGACUGGCAGGCUAGAGUACUGGAGAGGGUGGUGGAAUUCCUCGUGUAGCGGUGAAAUGCGUAGAGAUGAGGAGGAACACCAGUGGCGAAGGCGGCCACCUGGACAGUAACUGACGCUGAGGCGCGAAAGUGUGGGUAGCAAACAGGAUUAGAUACCCUGGUAGUCC
rnacentral:rRNA from 1 species